rnacentral:rRNA from 14 species
CGGAUAAAAGGUACGCCGGGGAUAACAGGCUGAUACUGCCCAAGAGUCCAUAUCGACGGCAGUGUUUGGCACCUCGAUGUCGGCUCAUCACAUCCUGGGGCUGGAGCAGGUCCCAAGGGUACGGCUGUUCGCCGUUUAAAGAGGUACGUGAGCUGGGUUUAGAACGUCGUGAGACAGUUCGGUCCCUAUCUACCGUGGGCGUUGGAAAUUUGAGAGGAUCUGCUCCUAGUACGAGAGGACCAGAGUGGACGAACCACUGGUGUUCGGGUUGUCAUGCCAAUGGCAUUGC